rnacentral:rRNA from 1 species
UGGGGAAUAUUGCACAAUGCGCGCAAGCCUGAUGCAGCCAUGCCGCGUGUAUGAAGAAGGCCUUCGGGUUGUAAAGUACUUUAAGCGGGGAGGAAGGCGAUAAGGUUAAUAACCUUGUCGAUUGACGUUACCCGCAGAAGAAGCACCGGCUAACUCCGUGCAAGCAGCCGCGGUACUACGGAGGGUGCAAGCGUUAAUCGGAAUUACUGGGCGUAAAGCGCACGCAGGCGGUCUGUCAAGUCGGAUGUGAAAUCCCCGGGCUCAACCUGGGAACUGCAUUCGAAACUGGCAGGCUAGAGUCUUGUAGAGGGGGGUAGAAUUCCAGGUGUAGCGGUGAAAUGCGUAGAGAUCUGGAGGAAUACCGGUGGCGAAGGCGGCCCCCUGGACAAAGACUGACGCUCAGGUGCGAAAGCGUGGGGAGCAAACA